rnacentral:ncRNA from 1 species
UACUCUGGAGAGUCUCCGGGAAACAGGAGCGCCGAAGGUGUAAGGUAUGUGGGCGGCUGCGGGAAGAUGCCGGCAGCCGCCAUAACAGCAUAUCGAUCUCUCAGGCAAAAGGACAGGGAA